UGGGGAAUAUUGGACAAUGAGCGAAAGCCUGAUCCAGCCAUGCCGCGUGUGUGAAGAAGGUCUUCGGAUUGUAAAGCACUUUAAGUUGGGAGGAAGGGUACUUACCUAAUACGUGAGUAUUUUGACGUUACCGACAGAAUAAGCACCGGCUAACUCUGUGCCAGCAGCCGCGGUAAUACAGAGGGUGCAAGCGUUAAUCGGAAUUACUGGGCGUAAAGCGCGCGUAGGUGGUUUGUUAAGUUGGAUGUGAAAUCCCCGGGCUCAACCUGGGAACUGCAUCCAAAACUGGCAAGCUAGAGUAUGGUAGAGGGUAGUAGAAUUUCCUGUGUAGCGGUGAAAUGCGUAGAUAUAGGAAGGAACACCAGUGGCGAAGGCGACUAACUGGACUGAUACUGACACUGAGGUGCGAAAGAGUGGGGAGCAAACA
rnacentral:rRNA from 1 species